rnacentral:lncRNA from 1 species
UUUGUUAUGUCCACCCCAAAAAUUUUUUCUUUUAAAUUUAAAUCACCCGCGCAGAUGGAAGACUUCUCCAUGCGCGAAAGCCACAAUAAAAUAUAAGCUACGUGACUGCUGGUUGACUAGCGGGGACUUCUGCAAGCUCAGCACCGCGAGUUUUUAAAAAGGCGAGCAAAAGCCAACGCCUUGUCUUUGAGCAGUUAAUUUGACUUCCGCGUUUAACUGACGGACCCGUGCCUUGUAAAAGUCCCUUGUCUUAAUUUGCGCUGCACUUAAGACGAGUUCAGACUCGGUUCAACCGGCAGGCCACGUAUUAGUUAUUA